AAGCAGCAUGUGUGUGACAGUACCCAUUCCAUCUUCAUCAUGCCCAAGAGUUUCAGCUCCGGGUUCUCUUCUGAAGCUGGAAAUCUUCUCUGGGAGGCCGUUUCCCCAUUAAAACAGCGGUGUCUAGAUUGGAAAGGGGAGGGUGGGCCUUCCAUGACUCAGGGCUAAAGGACAACAGGAGCAAACAUCCUCAUGUUUCAUUUGCUGAGACUUUGGCAAAUGGAAGUGGGCAGUCCCUGUCCCCAUCUCCAGGGCCCUGCCUUGGCACCUUCCCCACCAAGCUGACACCUCUGUGAGCUUCAGAGAAGCUAGAAGCUUUGGAGCUUUGUCCAAGGACAUGGACACCCCAUUGCAGCCUCACUCACUUGGGGGUGAAAGGAAGGUGACCUGCCCAGCCCUUUCAAAGUUCCCUGACAAUGUGCAGAGCUCCCUGGCUGUGUGCAGAGCUCGCUGACCGUGUGCAGAGUUCCUGGCUGUGUGCAGAGAUCCCUGAUGGUGUGCAGAGUUCCUGGCCGUGUGCAGAGCUGGCUGACCAUGUGCAG
rnacentral:lncRNA from 1 species